rnacentral:rRNA from 1 species
AUUGAACGCUGGCGGCAUGCCUUACACAUGCAAGUCGAACGGUAACAGGUUAAGCUGACGAGUGGCGAACGGGUGAGUAAUACAUCGGAACGUGCCCAGACGUGGGGGAUAGCUCGGCGAAAGCCGGAUUAAUACCGCAUAAGCUCUGAGGAGGAAAGCGGGGGACCGUAAGGCCUCGCGCGUUUGGAGCGGCCGAUGGCAGAUUAGGUAGUUGGUGGGGUAAAGGCUUACCAAGCCUACGAUCUGUAGCUGGUCUGAGAGGACGACCAGCCCCACUGGGACUGAGACACGGCCCAGACUCCUACGGGAGGCAGCAGUGGGGAAUUUUGGACAAUGGGCGAAAGCCUGAUCCAGCAAUGCCGCGUGCAGGAUGAAGGCCUUCGGGGUGUAAACUGCUUUUGUACGGAACGAAAAGGCGCCUAGUAAUACUGGGUGUUGAUGACGGUACCGUAAGAAUAAGCACCGGCUAACUACGUGCCAGCCGCCGCAGUAAGAC